rnacentral:rRNA from 1 species
UACAGAGGGUGCGAGCGUUGUCCGGAAUCACUGGGCGUAAAGGGCGCGUAGGUGGCGCGACAAGUCAGUGGUGAAAGCUCGAUGCUUAACAUCGAGUCGGCCACUGAUACUGUUGGGCUUGAGCACUGUAGAGGCUAAUGGAAUUCCGGGUGUAGCGGUGGAAUGCGUAGAGAUCCGGAAGAACACCGGUGGCGAAGGCGGUUAGCUGGGCAGUUGCUGACACUGAGGAGCGAAAGCAUGGGUAGCGAACAGG